rnacentral:rRNA from 1 species
GGCUCUGAUCAUACCAACGUUAAUGCCCCGAAUCCCAUCAGAACGCUGCAGCUAAGCAUGAUUGCGCUAUAGUAGUACUCGGAUGGGUGACCUCCUAGGAAGUCCUAGUGUUUCACCCU